rnacentral:rRNA from 1 species
AUGGGGUAUUACCUUGCAGAUGGUAUCUAUCCACGGUGGGCAACAUUUGUGAAGAGCAUACCAGCUCCAACUAGCAGAAAGCAUAAAACUUUUGCCAAGAAGCAAGAGGGGGCUAGGAAAGAUGUGGAACGAGCCUUUGGAGUUCUGCAAUCCCGUUUUGCCAUUGUUCGUGGACCUGCUAAAGGAUGGAAACGUAAAGAAAUCACUGAUGUCAUGAAAGCUUGUGUCAUAAUGCACAAUAUGAUAGUUGAAGAGGAGCGACAAACUGGUCGGCAAAGCUGCACUUUUGAGGCAACGGAAGAAAGAGUCACAGUCUCUCGUACUCAUGCGGAAGAACUGAGCUCUUUUAUUCAGAUGACUCAUCGGAUUAGAAAUUUCGAUGAACAUGAUCAGCUUAAACUUGAUCUAAUUGACCAUGUGUGGAAAAAGUUUGAAAACGAGUAA